rnacentral:rRNA from 1 species
AUACGGAGGAUGCGAGCGUUAUCCGGAUUUAUUGGGUUUAAAGGGAGCGUAGGUGGGAUAUUAAGUCAGCUGUGAAAGUUUGGGGCUCGACCUUAAAAUUGCAGUUGAUACUGGUUUCCUUGAGUACGGUACAGGUGGGCGGAAUUCGUGGUGUAGCGGUGAAAUGCUUAGAUAUCACGAAGAACUCCGAUCGCGAAGGCAGCUCACCGGGCCGGAACUGACACUGAUGCUCGAAAGUGCGGGUAUCAAACAGGAUUAGAUACCCUGGUAGUCCGCACAGUAAACGAUGAAUACUCGCUGUUUGCGAUACACGGUAAGCGGCCAAGCGAAAGCGUUAAGUAUUCCACCUGGGGAGUACGCCGGCAACGGUGAAACUCAAAGGAAUUGACGGGG